rnacentral:rRNA from 1 species
CCCUUAGAUGUUCUGGGCAGCACGCGCGCUACAAUGGUCUUCGCAAACGGAUGCAUUCUUGAAGGAGAAUGCCAAUCUUGGAAUCUAUGCCUUGGUCGGGACAGUUGCUUGCAAUUUUUCGACUCGAACCAGGAAUUCCUUGUAAUCGUGAUUCAUCACAUCACGAUGAAUACGUCCCUGCCCUUUGUACACACCGCCCGUCGCUCCUACCGAUCGAAGAGUUAGGUGAAUUGUUUUGAUCGAUAAGAUUUGACUAUGGUCAACUCUCGUUGUGAAAUUCUGUGAAUCUGACUGUUUAGAGGAAGGAAAAGUCGUAACA